AAGCGAGUCUUCAAGGCUGUACUGUACUAUACUAUUCAGUCCUCAGGAAGACGAAGAUUAAGGCUUGAGACCCUAAGGUGGAUGGGACUCCUGAAGAUAUUUAUGUCGCGGCGCCUAAACGCCUGAUUAGUCUGCAGUCCCAGGGAAGACCCAUUGGGCCCCCUCUAAGUCUCCAGUCUGAAAUAUCCGGUAAACGUUAAAGGUUAAAACGCAUACGGAAACGCAUGCGGUUAUAACGUACCAACCUCGAAUCUUUUACGACCGACUAGUCCUAAUCAGGAUACCACGGGUACUCACAGCUGGUGCAAGGUUCUUCGGAAGGAAGAUAACGCCAGGCAAAGAGACUGUGGAGAUAAGGUCUUCUUGAGAGAGGUUAGCCAAUGAUUGGUCCAGGCUCGUUUAAGAUGAAACCAUGAAGCAAUCUUAUUCCCACUCAUCGGACAAUUACGGUUAUCAAUAAAUAAUCUGGAUGAAGACCACGCCACCGCAGGGAACCGUGACUCCUGCUGAGUAUUUAAAACAAUCCUGCCAUCCCAACGGACACUGAGAUAAUGGCGGUAUUAUACUGCGCGUGUACGCAUUACGUCUAACCUACAAUCUGAAGUUGGCAGUCAGUGGCUGGAAAGCAGCACGUACCAACUGCAAUGUACUUUGAUGGAGGACAUUUGGAAAAGUUGUACCGAGUAAUGCAAGGCGAUUGGGUCUUACAGUUACCCGAUUGGGUGAGAAAGAAUAUGAGGAAAUAAAAAAAAAAAGUUGGAGGGCCUUGUAAUAAUUAUUUGAAAAAAUGAGAAACAGUGUAUCCAUAUCAGUCGUAUAGCUGUUGAAAUACGAGGACCAUUUGAAAUUUCAAUCAGUCAUAUUUCACCGUAAUUAACUUGGUUAACGGCUGGCGUGGUAUAGGGGGAUACUUGAAUUCAGGUAAGUUAGAGAAUGAAGUUUUACCAUGAAUCCCCCGUUUACUCGACGUCCCUGAAUAUUAAUAAAAAGUUGGGACUCAGGAUGGCCGCUUUAUGAAUACGACGUAAGGACGCCAUGGAAAGCUUGGAUAUUUUACUUGAAAAUUAAGAAAGCUCUUGGUGUUUGGGCUCUGAUCGUAAAAUUGGGCCAGGCACUACGAUAACUCGACGGGGCCUGAUGUCGAUCGUUACAGUUAUAAAAGAUGUGAAUAUUAUACGCGUUUCUAGGAUGGGGCCUCUCUUUGGGCAUAGAUCAGCCAGUUAGUAGAUGUGGCACAAGGGCGUGGACGUCACAAAUCAGUAGGAAAACGAUCCCAUACGAACAGAUUAAUUAUUUACAUAUCGCAUACGUAAUAAGAUGGAUACAAUAUUUAAAAAAAAAAUAUUUUCAUUCUUUCUCCUCCUUCGGUCUCUAGGAUAGAUGGCGUUUUUAAGAUUGCCGUUUCAUGAGAUUCCAGACUUGGACCCCGUCAGUUCUCUCUGGGACCGGGAAGACGGACACGCCCUGGUGGAAAAAAAAGGGGCCUGGAUGGAAUCCUAAUUUAAUUAAGACGAACCGUUAUUAACCAGCGAUUGUCAUGGAGAUGAGAAAUUUCGCUUAGGCACAACCUAAUCUAUAAAAAUUACACAAGUUUUAAUGUCAC